AUUGGAGCUUAGAUUCAUAUUGAAGCUCUCUGUCAAAAGAGUGGAUGAUGAAUUAAGUAUUGAAAUCAUGCUCUGUAAAAAGGAAUUAUAUGUUUUCCAUUUAUCUUGAUUUAUUAUAUGGCAUCAUGUGCUUAAGUAUAUGUAACCUUUCCAAAUUGAGUUGAUUUAAUAUUAGGGAGAAAUUGUUACAAAGGAAAAUUUGGUAUGUUUGGGAUUCUUUAUUUCUCUGCUUUAUUUUUAUAAAACUUUUAAAUACUCCAUGUUUUCUUAAUCUUACUAAAUUUUUUUUUUAAGUUGUAUUCCUGGAUAUAUGCAGUAACAUUUACAGGGCUCAUUAAAAAUGAAAGGGCUAUAUCACAAUUAAUAUUUCUCAUUCAAAUUCAAAUGUUUUCAUAUUAAAAAUAUAGAAAACUUUCAAUUUAUAUUAAAUAUAAGUUAACAGAAGGGUGAAUUUAGACUUCCACAAUGAUGGAUUGAAGAAUGAAUAUGUUUUGAAUUUUUGAAUUUAUCCUAAUUUCUGGAAAUUUAAGUGAAAACUCUACCACUGUGCUUAUUAUUGGAAAAUAGUAAUUAGAGGAAUAAACAAAUACCAACAGCAUUAUACUGGUCCCUGCUAUUUCUCCCCCACCUUAGCAACGUGGCAACAAAAUGAUUAAGAAGAGGAAAAACCCCAACUUUUAUUUCAUUGUUUCCUGAGGAGAUGACAUGUUAUUUCCUAGUCAUAGAGCACUGACUUUAUUUAUUUGUGUUUUCUUAAGUUUACUUUGUGGCAUACUUCGGAAGACCAGAAUCUGAACAAGCCAGUCUGAACAUUAACCAGCAUGAAAGUCAGGGGAGCAAAGUGAAGAAAUGAAACAUAUCUGAUGACCCUCUCCACUUUCCCUAGGGCCCAUCUGACGUUACAUCUUCUGUUUGCCCUCUGCUUGCUUUUCUUUUAUCUCACUAUAAAAUUUUUUGAAUGCAACUGUUCUGGAGUGCACAGAUAUAUAAAUGUCCUGGUAUGUUAAGACUUUAAGAUAUUUGUCUGCUGAAGAAAGAAUAAGAGAAAAGAACAAACAAAAAGAUCACAAAGGAUUCAAAUAAAUAUUCCUCAUUUAUUUAUUUU
rnacentral:lncRNA from 1 species